rnacentral:rRNA from 1 species
GAUGAACGCUAGCGGCAGGCUUAAUACUUGCAAGUCGUGGGGCAGCAGGACUGUAGCAAUACAGUUGCUGGCGACCGGCAAACGGGUGCGGAACACGUACGCAACUUACCCUGAACUGGGGGAUAGCCCGGGGAAACCCGGAUUAAUACCCCGUAAUAUAAUGGAGUGGCAUCACUUUAUUAUUAAAGCUCCGGCGGUUCGGGAUGGGCGUGCGGCUGAUUAGGUAGUUGGUUGAGGUAACGGCUCACCAAGCCUACGAUCAGUAACUGGUGUGAGAGCACGACCAGUCACACGGGCACUGAGACACGGGCCCGACUCCUACGGGAGGCAGCAGUAAGGAAUAUUGGGCAAUGGAGGCAACUCUGACCCAGCCAUGCCGCGUGGAGGAUGAAGGCCCUCUGGGUUGUAAACUUCUUUUAUAGGAGACGAAACCUGUGUAUUCUUACGCAGUUGACGGUACCCUAGGAAUAAGCACCGGCUAACUCCGUG